CUUCGGUUUGGGUGGCGGACGGGUGAGUAACGCGUAAAGAACUUGCCUCACAGUUAGGGACAACAUUUGGAAACGAAUGCUAAUACCUGAUAUUAUGAUUUUAGGGCAUCCUAAGAUUAUGAAAGCUAUAUGUGCUGUGAGAGAGCUUUGCGUCCCAUUAGCUAGUUGGAGAGGUAACGGCUCACCAAGGCGAUGAUGGGUAGCCGGCCUGAGAGGGUGAACGGCCACAAGGGGACUGAGACACGGCCCUUACUCCUACGGGAGGCAGCAGUGGGGAAUAUUGGACAAUGGACCAAAAGUCUGAUCCAGCAAUUCUGUGUGCACGAUGACGUUUUUCGGAAUGUAAAGUGCUUUCAGUUGGGAAGAAAAAAAUGACGGUACCAACAGAAGAAGUGACGGCUAAAUACGUGCCAGCAGCCGCGGUAAUACGUAUGUCACAAGCGUUAUCCGGAUUUAUUGGGCGUAAAGCGCGUCUAGGUGGUUAUGUAAGUCUGAUGUGAAAAUGCAGAGCUCAACUCUGUAUUGCGUUGGAAACUGCAUGACUAGAGUACUGGAGAGGUAAGCGGAACUACAAGUGUAGAGGUGAAAUUCGUAGAUAUUUGUAGGAAUGCCGAUGGGGAAGCCAGCUUACUGGACAGAUACUGACGCUAAAGCGCGAAAGCGUGGGUAGCAAACAGGAUUAGAUACCCUGGUAGUCCACGCCGUAAACGAUGAUUACUAGGUGUUGGGGGUCGAACCUCAGCGCC
rnacentral:rRNA from 1 species